GACAAAGACUGACGCUCAGGUGCGAAAGCGUGGGGAGCAAACAGGGAUUAGAUACCCCUGGUAGUUCACGCCGUAAACGAUGUCGACUUGGAGGUUGUGCCCUUGAGGCGUGGCUUCCGGAGCUAACGCGUUAAGUCGACCGCCUGGGGAGUACGGCCGCAAGGUUAAAACUCAAAUGAAUUGACGGGGGCCCGCACAAGCGGUGGAGCAUGUGGUUUAAUUCGAUGCAACGCGAAGAACCUUACCUACUCUUGACAUCCAGAGAACUUUCCAGAGAUGGAUUGGUGCCUUAAAAAAACUCUGAGACAGGUGCUGCAUGGCUGUCGUCAGCUCGUGUUGUGAAAUGUUGGGUUAAGUCCCGCAACGAGCGCAACCCUUAUCCUUUGUUGCCAGCGGUCCGGCCGGGAACUCAAAGGAGACUGCCAGUGAUAAACUGGAGGAAGGUGGGGAUGACGUCAAGUCAUCAUGGCCCUUACGAGUAGGGCUACACACGUGCUACAAUGGCGCAUACAAAGAGAAGCGACCUCGCGAGAGCAAGCGGACCUCAUAAAGUGCGUCGUAGUCCGGAUUGGAGUCUGCAACUCGACUCCAUGAAGUCGGAAUCGCU
rnacentral:rRNA from 1 species